GCCUACGGGGGGCAGCAGUGGGGAAUAUUGCGCAAUGGGCGAAAGCCUGACGCAGCGACGCCGCGUGAGGGAUGAAGGCCUUCGGAUCGUAAACCUCUGUCAGCAGGGAAGAACGGUCACUGUGCUAAUCAGCAGUGAAUUGACGGUACCUGCAAAGGAAGCACCGGCUAACUCCGUGCCAGCAGCCGCGGUAAUACGGAGGGUGCGAGCGUUAAUCGGAAUUACUGGGCGUAAAGCGCUCGUAGGCGGUAUGUCAAGUCAAGGGUGAAAUACCCGCGCUCAACGUGGGAACUGCCUUUGAAACU
rnacentral:rRNA from 1 species